UACAGGGGGGGCAAGCGUUGUUCGGAAUUACUGGGCGUAAAGGGCUCGUAGGUGGCCAACUAAGUCAGACGUGAAAUCCCUCAGCUUAACUGGGGAACUGCGUCUGAUACUGGAUGGCUUGAGUUUGGGAGAGGGAUGCGGAAUUCCAGGUGUAGCGGUGAAAUGCGUAGAGAUGUGGAGGAACACCAGUGGCGAAGGCGGCUUUCUGGUCUGUAACUGACGCUGAGGCGCGAAAGCGUGGGGAGCAAACAGG
rnacentral:rRNA from 1 species